UACGUAGGCAGCGAGCGUUGUUCGGAGUUACUGGGCGUAAAGGGUGUGUAGGCGGUUGUUUAAGUUUGGUGUGAAAUCUCCCGGCUCAACUGGGAGGGUGCGCCGAAUACUGAAUGACUUGGAGUGCGGGAGAGGAAAGUGGAAUUCCUGGUGCAGCGGUGAAAUGCGUAGAUAUCAGGAGGAACACCGGUGGUGUAGACGGCUUUCUGGACCGUAACUGACGCUGAGACACGAAAGCGUGGGUAGCAAACAGG
rnacentral:rRNA from 1 species